rnacentral:rRNA from 1 species
CACGUAGGGUGCGAGCGUUGUCCGGAAUUAUUGGGCGUAAAGAGCUCAUAGGCGGUGUGUCACGUCGGCCGUGAAAACCUGCAGCUUAACUGUGGGCGUGCGGUCGAUACGGGCAUCACUGGAGUUCGGCAGGGGAGACUGGAAUUCCUGGUGUAGCGGUGAAAUGCGCAGAUAUCAGGAGGAACACCGGUGGCGAAGGCGGGUCUCUGGGCAGUUACUGACGCUGAGGAGCGAAAGCGUGGGGAGCGAACAGG